rnacentral:rRNA from 1 species
UGGGGAAUAUUGCACAAUGGGCGCAAGCCUGAUGCAGCCAUGCCGCGUGUAUGAAGAAGGCCUUCGGGUUGUAAAGUACUUUCAGCGGGGAGGAAGGCGAUAAGGUUAAUAACCUUGUCGAUUGACGUUACCCGCAGAAGAAGCACCGGCUAACUCCGUGCCAGCAGCCGCGGUAAUACGGAGGGUGCAAGCGUUAAUCGGAAUUACUGGGCGUAAAGCGCACGCAGGCGGUCUGUCAAGUCGGAUGUGAAAUCCCCGGGCUCAACCUGGGAACUGCAUUCGAAACUGGCAGGCUAGAGUUUUGUAGAGGGGGGUAGAAUUCCAGGUGUAGCGGUGAAAUGCGUAGAGAUCUGGAGGAAUACCGGUGGCGAAGGCGGCCCCCUGGACAAAGACUGACGCUCAGGUGCGAAAGCGUGGGGAGCAAACA